UGCCUCCGGGGCGACCCUGCCUUCGGGCGGGGGCUCCGGGUGGACACUUCAAACUCUUGCGUAACUUUGCAGUCUGAGUAAACUUAAUUAAUAAAUUAAAACUUUUAACAACGGAUCUCUUGGUUCUGGCAUCGAUGAAGAACGCAGCGAAAUGCGAUAAGUAAUGUGAAUUGCAGAAUUCAGUGAAUCAUCGAAUCUUUGAACGCACAUUGCGCCCCCUGGUAUUCCGGGGGGCAUGCCUGUUCGAGCGUCAUUUCACCACUCAAGCCUCGCUUGGUAUUGGGCAACGCGGUCCGCCGCGUGCCUCAAAUCGACCGGCUGGGUCUUCUGUCCCCUAAGCGUUGUGGAAACUAUUCGCUAAAGGGUGUUCGGGAGGCUACGCCGUAAAACAACCCCAUUUCUAAGGUUGACCUCGGAUCAGGUAGGGAUACCCGCUGAACUUAAGCAUAUCAAUAAG
rnacentral:rRNA from 1 species